CACAUCCCCACGCUUCAUCUGAAAAACUCUCCUCUCUCUUGCGAUUGGUAAUAUUUCACACAUGGAGGACUACACCUCAAAUAACAAGAAGCGGGUCCGAGAUAACUCAGACGACUCGGCCGAGGUGAAGCGGCUCAGGGAAGACCUUCUGGGUUUUCUCGACGACUCGGACGCCGAUCCCACGGCUCAGGACCUCGACUCCGUCAUGAAGAGCUUCGAGGAAGAGAUAGCUGCCGCAACAAAUUCUUGUCGGUCGUCGCCGCGUCCGGCAUCGGAUACGGAGCAAGCAUCGGAGACCGAUCCAGCUUCCGUGCC
rnacentral:lncRNA from 1 species